rnacentral:rRNA from 1 species
UACGGAGGGAGCUAGCGUUGUUCGGAAUUACUGGGCGUAAAGCGCACGUAGGCGGCUAUUCAAGUCGGGGGUGAAAGCCCGGGGCUCAACCCCGGAACUGCCCUCGAAACUAGAUAGCUAGAAUCUUGGAGAGGCGAGUGGAAUUCCGAGUGUAGAGGUGAAAUUCGUAGAUAUUCGGAAGAACACCGGUGGCGAAGGCGGCUACCUGGACAGUCACUGACGCUGAGACGCGAAAGCGUGGGGAGCAAACAGG